UGUAAACACCCUACACUCAGCUGUAUUGAUGUUUCGGACAAGCUGGGGGAGGGUGCUUACUCU
rnacentral:pre_miRNA from 1 species